rnacentral:snoRNA from 1 species
UGGAUCAGUGAUGACCACUGGUGGCAUAUGAGUUGUAGACUGUGAAUACAUCUCUGGAACUCUGAGGUCCUU